UUUAUACAUAUAUACAUAUGUACAUAUAAUAUAUAUGUACAUAUCUGUGCAGGUCCACAUAUUAUAAUUGUGGCCGUAAGUUUAAUGUUUGCGCUUAAAGUUUUAAUACGGAAAAUAUAACAAGUUGCCUCGGAUCGUGCUCACUUUUGACACGAUAUUUGCACAGUAUUGUUCAAUUAAUGCAUUUUGAUAAAUUCGAGCAUAAUAUUGACUUAAACGUGUUAGAUAAUUUUCAGUUUUUAAGCACUUCCAUUAAUUCAAACGUAAAUAAAUUAUUUGGCAAUGUUAAGAUAGUGGCAUGUGUGCCCUCACAAAGCGAGCGAUAAUGGAAUUAUCGUAAAAUGUAUCGAUCAAAUUUCAUGCUUAAUAUGUAAUCUUAAGAAUAUUUGAUGCAUAAAUCUAUGGGUUUUAACAUUAUAAGCCUUAAGGAUGACGAAAGUAACAUAAGUAUGUAUGUAUGUAUAUUUCCUAAAAUUACAAUGUGGAUGUGCUUCGGCUCUAUGUAUUUGAAGUCGGUUUCAAUUUACAAAAAUAUGCACAUAUAUAUAUACAUAAAUGCACUUACAUAAAUAAACGAAAGAAUUAUUUGUUAUUUCACUCCGCUUGUUUAUAUAAAUCGGUAGUAAAAUACAACAAAAAUAUAUUAAAGCAUUUCCACUCUAAAAUAUUUUGAUUUCUUGACGUUAUGUAAAUAUUUAUGAAUUUAAAUUAAAAUCAUGCAUAUGUAUGUAUGUAUGUACAUAUUUCAGUAUAUGAAAAUAUAUACAUAUAUAUAAAUACGUAUACGUAGUGGAAUUGAUCAGCUGAUUGAUUAAGAAACUAAGGAACAGAGUGGCGGAAAACCGAAUGGAAAAUGGAACAUUUUAACACGCAUUUUAAAAUAACAACAAUUGCAAAGAUUUUUGUAUAAAUUAUAUUGAUACUACACCAAAAGCUCUACAUUUUUUUAAGCUUGGCAAACACGUGCGUUUAUAAACCACGUGAUACUGGCAAUACCUCUAUAAAAAAACACAACGGUUUAUAUGAAUGUACAAUGGAUAAAUUUAUAAAUAUUAUAUAUAUAUAUGUACAUUUGUACAUACAUACUUACAUACACAAAUAUCUAUAAAAUUCGAUUAUCCAAAUUUAGAUUAGAAUAUUUACACAUCUUCAUUAUCGACAAUGUUUCUAAAUUGUUUGAACCCUGACGAACAAUUUGUUACAAAAUCUAAUGAAAACAAUAAUUAUAUAUUAUAUUUCUUAUCUUGUAUUUGAUUUAUAAAAUGCGCACGCCCUCAUAUACAAUAAAAUCGGUAUGCGAACGACUUCCUUUUGUAGAUAAUUACAUCACUAAGUUGAAUUGAAAAUGCAUAUCUCUCGUACGCUCUUACGCGAGCGCACUCAUAUAAAAAAGAGAGAGCAGAAAAUUGCAAAGUAAUGCAAAUAUACUUGCAAUUAUAACUACUUAACUAUAAUUUUAAUUGGCACCAACUUUAGGGUACGCUUAAGUAAGAAAAUAAUAUAUUGCAGAAAAAUAAAUAAAAUUAGUAUUGCUAUACCACGAAUAUGUGAGAUGGCCCUACGGAAACCAACCUAGGUAAAUGCAUAUACAUACAUACAUUCAUGCAUACACAAUUUGGUAUACAUAUCUAAUGUGCUCACUAUUGUGCUUUUUGCACGACAGCAUUUUGUGCUCUUCAAAAGUCGAUUUCGCUCUCGUCGCGACGCAAGCUUUCUAAUCGAAAUGAUUAACCUGAAAUGAAAUGCUAUUGUUGUCGACUUCGUUGCCAAUCCGAACAACAUUUACUAGUUCCGAUUCAUACUCAUGGCUGAGUUUCUAUUUGAACGUUACAUUUAGUCGUCUGCGGCGUGUGUACACGCAGCGAACAGAGCGCCAAAAUCGUUGGAGGGGAUGUACUGCGCUUAUUGGUAACACCAAAACGGUGUGGUUGACGUAAAAAUUCUACCUCUCCCUCCACAACGUUAGCUACAACUCUGCAGUCGCGUCGCGUCGCUUAAAUUAUUCCGUUGUAUUUAUGGUGGAAGUGUGCGAAUACACUAAUGUUCCUUCUGCUAUUCGUAAGAUACAUACAUAUUUGUUGUUGUUUUUGUUAUUCAUCUUUAUUUCGGCCUUUGUAUAUUUACAACAUACUGAUUGUACGACAAGAGCACGAAAUAAGACAUCAGAAAUAUGCGCAGGGACUUGACUUAUGUAUGUACCUACACGUGUGUGUAGGUAUGUUUGUCUGCAGUUAAUUUUAGAAAAAUAUACAAUAUUGCGAUAACACCAAUCAGUGUCAAUAAAUGUACACACAGAAGUACAUAAGUAUGUAAGUUUUAAGCCCCAAAAUGUUACAGUUGUAUACAUAUUUCCGAAAUAUCGGAAUAGGUACUAAAGAUGAUAAGACAAUGCUUUUGUUUAAGCUGUAUGCACAAGUUCAUUUGAACAUCGUAGAUAGUACAAGUGUACCCAAGAAGUUUAUAGUAUUCGUGAUUUAGUUGCUUAAAUAGUAAUUAACUUGUGGAAUGUAAUGCCUGCUCUUCCUCGAAAACAAAGAAAGCAACAAAGAAGUCAUGGGUAUGAAAAUUGUUGUACUUAUUUUGGCACCGACGUAAUUUUAAUUAAUUCAAUAUCAUUUUUCGUAUACAAAUGUAUUUGCAUAUGAAUUUAUAAAUGCAAUGGUAUAUGACGAAAUCGUCAGUCGCAAAUAACCUCAACUAUAAAAUACUCUCACAUUUUUUCGUGAAAAAUCCAUCGUUAUAUUUUGACUUCAUUUAUGUGCUUAUGUAUAUGUGUGUACAUUUGCUCUCUUGUGUGCUUAAACUCAUUUUCUCAAAAGUAUGCAUGCCAAUAAACAGUUAGUGAAAGCGACAAAGCAACAAAUUAUCCGAUAGGCGACAAACUACUUGCGCAGGGAGAGCACCUGGAGUCACAAGUACAAAGGUAUAGUUGGAAAAUAUACACACACAUAUGUAAAAAGGUAUCAAAAUCGUUAAUAGAAUAUACGAAAAUUACUCUUUGGCCAUUCAUAUUCCGACUGUAAUGGGCAAAAGCGACACAAUUUACUACAAUUUCAUUUUCAUUCAGUCUGUGAGUGAGAUCUGGUGAGAAUCGUACGAAACGACGAGAAGCAAAACAAAUUUCCUCCUUUUUAGUGCAUCUCCCAAUUCGUUAAUUUUGCGUAUUUAUAUGUAUAAGCAAACAUAAAUUCAAUUGAACUGUAUUUACAUGGAUGUAGUAUUUACGAUAAUCUUAAUCAAAAACAAUAUGAAUUUAGUAAUGUUUGGGAAUUCUUCAGGAAUGGAUCACUAAAUAUACAUAUGUACAAUAUUUUUAAUUUACAUAUACAUACACAUGUAAAUAUUAAAAAAUAUGGGUGCUCAUGCUACAUUGUUCUUAUCUUUGCACUGUGACUCAAGACUAAGCUUAUGUGUUGAUUUUGGGUUCGCACACAUUCUGAUGAAAUAACCGCUUUUGAAAACAUAUUCAUGUUUGUAUACAAAAAUGUCAUAGUUAUGUUAAGGGAUAAAGACCUUAUCUCGCCAUUCAAUUCCAUCAAUCCAACUAGUAACAAUUUAUUAAUUUACUCCUACAAAUUACGAUGGAGGAUCAUAGCAACUGUUUAUAUAUCCAUACCGAUAAGAAACUAGUUUAAUUUAAUUUAUUUCUGUAUAUUACAAGAGCUGAAUAUUGAAAAGAACAAGUGAAAAGGACACGUCUCUCUUAUCGAAAAGAACUCCACAUGCGACUGCGUUUAUGGCCAAAGUACAAAGCUUAACCCCACCAGCAUUUAAAAGAAAGAAAAAGUUUUUGACAGGAUGCGUUCUGAAAUCACAUUUAAAACGAGUUGUGCUUGAUAACAUUCCUUACACACAACAAACAGCAGACUCUGUUUACCUACUAAUUACUGCUUUAUUGUACACAGAGCGUUACUCGGCACCUUCCUGCUUCGAAUGAUGAGCUAAAAAAAUUGCGCUUUGCAUAUUUCAGCACGUCAAGUUCCU